AUUGCUGACGAGUUCCAAAUAGGACGAAACGCGCGUCCUGGAU
rnacentral:hammerhead_ribozyme from 1 species